GCUGGCGGCGCGCUUAACACAUGCAAGUCGAGCGAGAACCGGUUCUUCGGAACCGGGGAAAGCGGCGAACGGGUGAGUAACACGUGAGUAAUCCACCCUCGGCACCGGGAUAGCCCGGGGAAACUCGGAUUAAUACCGGAUGGCCCAGCAGCUCUUCGGGGCGGUUGGGAAAGGUAGCUUCGGCCUCCGGCCGAGGACGAGCUCGCGGCGGAUUAGCUUGCUGGUGGGGUAAUGGCCUACCAAGGCGACGAUCCGUAGCUGGUCUGAGAGGACGAUCAGCCACACUGGGACUGAGACACGGCCCAGACUCCUACGGGAGGCAGCAGUGGGGAAUCUUGCACAAUGGGCGAAAGCCUGAUGCAGCGACGCCGCGUGAGGGAAGAAGGCUUUCGGGUUGUAAACCUCUUUCAGGAGGGACGAAGCUACUCGGGUUAAUAGCCCAGAGGGUGACGGUACCUCCAGAAGAAGCCCCGGCUAACUACGUGCCAGCAGCCGCGGUAAUACGUAGGGGGCAAGCGUUGUCCGGAUUUAUUGGGCGUAAAGAGCGUGUAGGCGGCCAGAUAGGUCCGUUGUGAAAACUCGAGGCUCAACCUCCAGACGCCGAUGGAAACCAU
rnacentral:rRNA from 1 species